rnacentral:tRNA from 2 species
AAAAAAUUAGUUAAAAUAUAACAUUAGUUUGUCAAACUAAAAUUAUUAAUAUUAAUAUUUUUUA